rnacentral:lncRNA from 1 species
AGUUACGGCCUAAUAUGCGUUUCGUUGCACAAGAAUUGUCGGCUCGUGAUCGGCCUUACCUGCUGCAGCCACUGCAGACAGUAAAACUAAACGAAGCAACAAGUUUCUCAAAUUAGGAGGAGUUCGUGAUUUGCCGCGAUAAGUAUACAUAGUCACAUAAUCAAUGCUUGGACUCUGCAUAUACAUAAAUCCAGGGGAAUUAUGUCUUUAUUGGAAACUAAUGUACACAAUAUUUAUCUGUACGGAAACUAAUGUAGAGGAGGAUUUGACAGUAUUUUUUUUUUCUAUUCUAAAAAAAAAUAAUUCUUCCAUUGGCAAUGAUGCCCAGCAUUCAAUUAGCACAUAAACAUAAUCAGCAUGCAUAUACAAUUCACAGAAAUACUAAAUAAUUGAGAAAUCAAUCAGAAAUGAAGCCAUGAAAAUUGAAACCCUUACCUGGAAUAAAAAAAAAAAAGAAUCAGCGGAUCGGAGAAGAACUCCAUGUGCAACUACAGAGCAGAGGAAAAGCAAUGAUAUAUGAACUAGCUAUACGAGCAUACGGAAUAUCGGUGUUGGGCGCCGAUCACUUGUCGGAUAGAACGAUAACAUAAGGGUUUAUGGAACGGGAUUCCGGCACCGGCGAGUGGUGAAUAGAAUUGGACGGUGGCGAGUGCGCAUUUUCAUUUGGGUUUGGCUUCUUCGAAUAUUUUAUGCCCCCGUUUGUUCAUCACGCGCGUUU